AUAAUGGUGUCUUUAGACACCACCUUCUGUCUUCAAAAAAUUAUUU
rfam:Picea glauca, whole genome shotgun sequence.